GCACCAUAGACAACGAGCGAACUUUUAGGUGGGGACGUGAUGGAUUUCGGGCCCCUUGAAGGCAUCAUGCUCCUCAUCGUUUCUCUAGACGGCUCUACCCCGCUGCGUGCAGUCCAGGUUCGGGAGGGGGCUGGAAUGACCGUGCCGUUCUCUCGCGAAGAGGGGAUGUUGGGACGUCGGACUCUGCCCGUCGCCCGUCUCGCUUCCGCCGCGCUCGAGGAUAUAUAGAUCGUAGCCCGGGAGCCGCAGGCGGGAUGGUGGGCCGCGUUUGCCGUAGCCAUCUGUCCCAGUAGGUUCGUCGAGAGGGUCAGACCCCCCUCCGUCGCUUGCAGGGGCCCCCCGUCACAGGAGUGUGCUUGGGGAGCCGGAGGCGUGGCAUGGACCGUUCGAUCGUGUUGGGUAACCGGGCCCUUCUCUGGCGCUGUCUUGUCCCCGCAACGGUUUCGCACGGCUCUCCCCCCGCCGUGACUCCGAGUCGAUGUGCGGGCCGCGUCCUCUCGGGGAGGGGGCAGGGUUGUCCGGUUGCGCGGCGGGCGCCGUUGGAGCCAGGGUGGGCCAACAAACCAAAAGCACAGGGUGCCCGGCGCACCAAGGACUCGAGUUGCUGCACGGACCCUCGAUCCAGUGUUCUGCGGGGGCCCGUGCGGCAUAUUUGCGGAAAUGCACGACUCUCGGCAACGGAUAUCUCGGCCCUCGCCACGAUGAAGAACGUAGCGAAAUGCGAUACUUAGUGUGAAUUGCAGAAUCCCGUGAGUCAUCCAGUCUUUGAAUGCAAGUUGCGCCCGAGGCUUCGAAUGAGGGCGCGUCUGCCUGGGUGUCGCACACAAUCGAAUCGCCCCAUUGCCUGCGUGCGGGCGGUGGAGGGGAGCUGGCUGUCCGUGUCCCUUGUGACACCGUCGGCUUAACCGGAUUGCGCUCCCCUUGUCGGGCAUCGGCGAGCGGUCGUUCGGUCGUCUUGGAUGAUCGAUACGCGGCACCGUAAGUGCACGGCACGCGGGGAAGCCCCCCUCGACUUGAUCACUCGGGAGGCCUAGGCUUCGGCCGGAGUUCCUCCCGUCCACGU
rnacentral:rRNA from 1 species